rnacentral:lncRNA from 1 species
AAAAAAAUACCUCAAUGAAGGUUGUAGUCCCUUAGCUAAAGUUUUGAUGAAAUUCCAAGCUUCAAUUGUCCAACCAGUAGCUGCCCCUUCAUUUUUUUUUUUUUAUGUUGUGUGUGAGUGUGUUGGGAGAAAAGAGAGGGAGCCGAGUGUGAGUUGGGGAGUUUUUCUUUUUUGUGUGUGUAGUGGAAAUGUGCCGAGAGAUAGUUUUGUGAGAGUGUGAGAUGGUGGA